rnacentral:tRNA from 1 species
GGGCUCGUAGCUCAGCGGCAGAGCGGUCGGCUCAUAACCGAUUGGUCGCAGGUUCGAAUCCUGCCGGGCCCA